GAUGAACGCUGGCGGCGUGCUUAACACAUGCAAGUCGAGCGAGAGAGUUCUUCGGAACAAUCUAGCGGCGGACGGGUGAGUAACACGUGGGCAACCUGCCUCAUAGAGGGGAAUAGCCUUCCGAAAGGAAGAUUAACACCGCAUAACAUCGUUGAAGGGCAUCCUUCGAUGAUCAAAGGAGCAAUCCGCUAUGAGAUGGGCCCGCGGCGCAUUAGCUAGUUGGUGAGGUAACGGCUCACCAAGGCGACGAUGCGUAGCCGACCUGAGAGGGUGAGCGGCCACAUUGGGACUGAGACACGGCCCAGACUCCUACGGGAGGCAGCAGUGGGGAAUAUUGCACAAUGGGGGAAACCCUGAUGCAGCAACGCCGCGUGAGUGAUGACGGCCUUCGGGUUGUAAAGCUCUGUCUUUGGGGACGAUAAUGACGGUACCCAAGGAGGAAGUCACGGCUAACUACGUGCCAGCCGCCGCCGUAA
rnacentral:rRNA from 1 species